rnacentral:rRNA from 1 species
UGGGGAAUUUUGGACGAAUUGGGCGAAAGGCCUGAAUCCAGCAAUGCCGCGUGUGUGAAGAAGGCCUUCGGGUUGUAAAGCACUUUUGUCCGGAAAGAAAUCCUUGGCUCUAAUACAGUCGGGGGAUGACGGUACCGGAAGAAUAAGCACCGGCUAACUACGUGCCAGCAGCCGCGGUAAUACGUAGGGUGCAAGCGUUAAUCGGAAUUACUGGGCGUAAAGCGUGCGCAGGCGGUUUGCUAAGACCGAUGUGAAAUCCCCGGGCUCAACCUGGGAACUGCAUUGGUGACUGGCAGGCUAGAGUAUGGCAGAGGGGGGUAGAAUUCCACGUGUAGCAGUGAAAUGCGUAGAGAUGUGGAGGAAUACCGAUGGCGAAGGCAGCCCCCUGGGCAAUACUGACGCUCAUGCACGAAA